AGAGAGAGACAUGCGCGCAUAUCAAUAAGCGGAGGAAAAGAAACUAACAAGGAUUCCCUUAGUAACGGCGAGUGAAGCGGGAAGAGCUCAAAUUUGAAAUCUUCAAGGUUUUACCCUGACGAAUUGUAGUUUAAAGAAGUGUUUUCUGCUGAAGUUUUGGUAAAAGUUCUUUGGAAUAGGACAUCAUAGAGGGUGAGAAUCCCGUAUUUGACCAUUAUUUUCAGCUUUGUGAUACACUUUCAAAGAGUCGGAUUGUUUGGGAAUGCAGUCCAAAAUGGGUGGUAAAUUUCAUCUAAAGCUAAAUAUUGGCGAGAGACCGAUAGCGAACAAGUACCGUGAGGGAAAGAUGAAAAGAACUUUGAAAAGAGAGUUAAACAGUACGUGAAAUUGUCAAAAGGGAAGCGUUUGACACCAGUGUUGUUUUCUCGAAAAUCAAUUAAAAAUGGCUCGAUUUUGUAUUGUUGAGACCUUAAAAGCUCACUGUACAUUUUUCGUGUCUUUUUUAAUGCACUUUUCGUUUAACAAGUCAACAUCAGUUUCUUUUGUUGUAAAAGGGUCAUUGGAAGGUGGCUUUCUUUUCGGAGAAAGUGUUUAUAGCCUUUGGCCUCUGCAAUCGAGAGACUGAGGUCUGCAGCGUAGACUCUUCGGGGUUAGAUACAUUUGUGCUAAGUUAUAGCUUUUUAUAGACAACUUGUUGACUAUAAUUAGUCUUGUAGCUUACUCGCUUAUGCUAUUUUACCUACGCUUAGGAUGUUGAGUCGUAGAGCACGCAG
rnacentral:rRNA from 1 species